rnacentral:rRNA from 1 species
UCGAGAAUUUUCCGCAAUGGGCGCAAGCCUGACGGGGCGACGCCGCGUGGAGGAAGAAGGCCUUCGGGUUGUAAACUCCUGUCGAAGGGGACGAAUGUCACGGUCUGAACAGGGCUCGUGAUUGACGUUACCCUAGGAGGAAGCACUUGCUAACUCUGUGCCAGCAGCAGCGGUAAUACAGAGAGUGCGAGCGUUGUUCGGAAUUACUGGGCAUAAAGCGCACGUAGGCGGGUCCGUAAGUCGGUAGUGAAAUCCCCCGGCUCAACCGGGGAAUGGCUUCCGAUACUGCGGGUCUUGAGGACGGGAGGGGAGAGUGGAACUUCCAGUGGAGCGGUGAAAUGCGUAGAUAUUGGAAGGAACACCGGUGGCGAAAGCGACUCUCUGGUCCGUCUCUGACGCUGAGGUGCGAAAGCUAGGGUAGCAAACGGGAUUAGAUACCCGCGUAGUCC